CUCCCCAGUUAGCUAAUUUGAGUGUUGUUAUCAUUAUUUUCCCAAAUGGAGCGCUCGAAUUUUGCGAUUUAAAGUAAGCUACAAGCUAUACUAAAACUGUCGCAUUAAACUUUGAAAUGUGUUAACCUUUAGCAACACGACCACGACACGAACUAUCUUUUCGAACUACUAACUUCAUAUUGUUAUGCAUGUUAAUACCGCAAAUUCUUGCAUCAUCAAAUUUAAUAUUUCGCUUGUUUGUUGGCAUUUAAUUUACCAACAAAUAAUGUUUAUAUAGCCACUAAAGCUAUAAUUAUUUUUUGAUUUGAGGACAAAAAAUUGAUAUGAAGUUCAAUUAUUUUUGUUGAAUUAUUCCUAAGUGUUAGGAAGAAGUUGUUAAUCUGAGUUGAAGUUUUUCUUUUAUGUAAAAUUUGCUAAAGAUUGAAUAUCACCUUUUUGGAAUAGUUUAAAACCUCUUCUUAAGUUUUUUUCGCAUAUUUAAGAAAACGAGAUUUCUUUCUUACAUAUGUUGCCCAUAAAUUUUGUAUUAACUUUUUUUCAUGAAAACAGGAAGUGCAUAUGAAAUCCUUUAAAUACGUAAUUUAAAAUAAUCUUAUACAACUGGGGGAUAUUUCCGUAUCAUGAUCUGUGGCGCUAACUACAAUCGCCAAUGUGCCAAAUAGAUUUUGUACUUGCAAAUUUAAAAAAAAAGAAGUUAUUGUUUACCCGGGGGUGGCUAUGAGUCAUAAAUUUCGAAUUGAUCCCUUUCUGUGAUGUUUUUCAGUUUCUCGCGGGCCACUGCCCGAAGUUGCCAAGACUUGGCAGAAUUCUGCCACGGAUCACGAUACUGAAAUCUCCCUUACGCUUGCAAUACCAGAAGGAAAAAAAAAGACUCACAUAUAGAAGGUUAAAAGAGCUUAUUAAAUAAAAUGUUAGAAACAAUGAACAUUUUAAAAUUACAAAAAUCAUGGAGUUUUAUUAAAAGAAAUAAGAGAGAUUUCAAUAAAGAUGUAAAUUGUUUUAAAAUUUGCUUAUAGAGAAAUGAGUAGUCCGUUACUAUUACUUUUGGUAUGCUUAUUCAGUGAAUUUUUAAAUAGUGUGAGAAAUGUUUUGUUCAUUUUGCUGCGUAAAGUAGGGGUGAGCACCAUCCCUUGAAGAGGCAAGCAAUUUGAAAAUAAUUUAAUUGUGUUUUCAAAGGUUUAAAUAAUAGGAGAUUUUUGUAUGGAUGUCUGUGCUAAUAUAAUCGAUAAGUUUUUGGGGCACAGUAGAAACUAACAAAAAACUUCACAGCGUAGGGCAAAUUUGUAAGAAAACUUGUAGUCAUUUUUAAGCAAGCCACUGUAUUUACAGCAACUGAGCAAUAACACUUGGCGAUUUCAGUUGACAUAAAUAGGUACCCUUAUAGAAAUAGAUUUUACAGUAAAGCUACUGAAGAUUUUUUUGGGAUAAUGUGGUAUUUUGAUCUGUCAAACCAAGCAUAAAGGGCAAAGCACCAAAAGUAUUUUGAACUUGUAAAUUUAAGAUAAAAAAUCUGUAGAGGUUUGCUUCAAACUGACUGCAAGUUAUACCCUUCAAGUUGGUCUUCUUCUGUGAUGUUUUUCUGUUUUUAGUUUCUUGCAAAACAUUGCCUAGAAGUCACAAGGAUUUGGCAAUUAUUUUGACGUAAAUCGGGACACAGAAAUUUCCCCCCUUUUUUUUAAGUAUAUCUUUUCAGGUUUUUAAGAUUAAUGGCUUCAUAAAAUAUUCUUUCGUAAAAUAAAAGUAAGUUAUUCAUUCCUCAGAAAUCAAGUAAAUAAAAUUUGAUCAACUGGGAAAACAAUUAUCUGAAAAUGUUCAGACUUUUUCUAGUAAAUUAUUAUAUUAGUUUAUGAAUUGAGAAAUACAUUUAUGAAGUCUUUAAAUGUUUAAAAACUUUACACAAUUUUUUUUCUCCUUGAUAUUAAACUGAAACAUGCUUCUAUAAUGUUGAAAUACCUUUUCAAAUAUUGAAGUAAAAAGGUUUUAUUAGGUGGCUAUUAUAUCAGAAUUGUAUUUUUAUGAUCUUACAUUUAUAGUCUUUUUAUGUUUUAUUAUCUUCAAAUUAUAGAUUUCAUAUUUUGGAUUGAAAAUUUUGUCGCAAUUUUUUAAAGUAAUUUAGUUUUCUUAUUAAAACCUAAUUUUUAGAAUUAUGUUUAUUACUUUUGUGUGAUUUGUAAAGUAUCAUUUUUAUGUAAAGUAAGAUGUUAUUAAAAUGUGUUUUAAAUUUUAUUAUUCAUGUAUUAGGUGAACAACUAAGUUUCUACCAUUUUUUUUAAAUGUUUGAAAUUCAGGGGUUUUUAGCAACUUUAAAGGAGUUAAAAUUUAAGCAUUUUAUCUGGCAGUUUCACUUGACGUUUGAUACAAAUUUUUCUGCAAAAGUUGGUUUAAUUGCACUUCCUGGAAUUUAACUAUAAAAUAAGAACAAGGUGCAUCUUUAAGGUCACAAUUUUUCUUUUUCAACUUUGCAUACAAAUCACAAGCUGUUCUUUAAGCUAUCACCAUAUCACAUCUCUCCAUACACAGAAUAAGUGUCAAAUCGACUUUUGUGGCCUUCAAAUCUUGAUUAAAAGCUUGAAGAAGGAAGUGUCAAAAAUGCUCAUAUUUCUUAACUUGACAUUUGAUUUUAAUGAUCUGCAAAUUAACAUGUGGAAGCUUAGUUGCAAACCCAGUAUUUUUUAUAUCUGUCUAGGCUGUCUGUAUUUUAUGCUUUAUUUAUUGCUAAGGUAUGACCUAAAUUUAAAGAAACUGUUUAAUUUUAUAACUGGUAAGUACCCUAUUUGAGAAAAUAGGGUAUUUCAAAAUUAUUAUUUUUUUUGUUAUUGUUUGUUUUAACUAAUUUAUAUUACUGCUUAAUAUAUUUAAAUUAUUUUGUUUAUGUUUUUUAUUUUUAGAGCUAUUUUACUUUUAGUUUUGUACUUAUUAGUAAUUGCAUUCAUUAUCUUUAGAUAUAUAUGUAUAUAUAUUUCGAUCUUACUGACUGUUUUAAUUACCUUUGUCAAUAAUUUUGAAAUAUUGAUUAAGUUUUCUUUUUAGGAAAUAUUACAUAUUUAUGGGAAUUUUUAUCACUACUGUUAAAAGAUGAAAAGUAUCCUCACUUAAUUAAAUGGGUCCAUAAAGAAGAAGGCAAGUUUAAAAUUGUAGAUUCAAAAGCUGUCUCAAAAAUGUGGGGUCUUCAUAAAAAUAAUCCAUAUAUGACUUAUGAUAAUAUGUCAAGAGCACUUAGGUAUUAUUAUCGGCAAGGUAUAAUAGCAAAAGUUCAAGGUCAACAAUUAGUGUAUCAAUUUCUUCCAUCAUUGCAAAAUAACUUUCCUGUUAACAUUAGUAAGAUUGAAAAAGAAAGUAAGCACUGACGACUGUAUUUUCUUUACAAUCAAACAUUGUGUAACCAUCCAGCUAUUAAUUAGAAAGAGUAAUAAAAAUCCAAAUAUAUUUCAUGCUUAACUGCUCGGUUAACUUAGUAUUUGCUCAAAGUACCUUAUGUGUAUGCAAGAUAUUAUUAUUAUAUCUUGCAUAUACACAUUAUUAUAUUUUAUUAUAUUGGGAAUUAUAACUUACAAAGCCUAAAUAAAUCAGUAUAUGCAGAAAUUUAAUGGAUAUUCAAAUUAUUUAAAGGAAAAAAAAUAAUAAAAAAAAGAGAAUUUCAAUGCUUGUUGUGAAACACAAGAAAGUAAUGAAAUUGGCCCAAAAAUAUGGUUUUGAAAGAAUUAUAUUAUUUAACAUUUUAAUGAUGAACUGUCUUUCCUUAUUUUUAGAGUCGAACAAGUUACUGAAACAAUAAAAUCUUUUUUUAUCAUUAAUUUUCAACUACUGAAUUGACUUAAAUGCCCGGUGAAUGAUAUUUUUGAUUGUGAUAAUUUUUUUAAUAGAUUAUUAUUGAGGCCCCAAACAUUAUUGAGGAAACAGAAUUUAUAUCUUUAGAGUAUCCUUUGUCAGACUGUGAACACUCAUCUCCAUUGCCCUUUAAAUCUAGUAAAAUUAAGCAGUAAUUUCUAAUGAUUUUUUUUAAAAACAUUUUUGUCCUUCCUUACUAUUGGGUGCUUGUAUCAUCCCUGACCUUAAUAGUUUCAACUGUUUCCAAAAUGAACUGUUUCUGUCUUUGAUUUCUUCAAUAUUUAGUUUAUUUAUAUUUAUUAAUAUUUAUUAUUAUAUUUAUAAAUUUGGUAGAAUAGUUAAAGUUCCUAUUUUUUUAGUAUUCAUCAGUAGUAGUUGCAGCAAAAUUUCUUUUGGAAUUGUUUUUUCAAACACAUGCUUUUGCUAAACAUUUAUAAAAUAUGAAAAUAUUAAUUAAAUGGGUGAAAUAUGCUUUGACAAACAUUUGAUGGCAUUUUUAUGCUCACACAAAAAUAGCUACAUCUUUAUUUUUUAACAUAUUUGAUUGAAAAUAUAACGGCAUAUGUAUUACUAAUGAAGUUUCAGUAAUAUUAUGUUCAGUUUUUUCUUGAAAUUUCUUACAAAUUUUUUUUUAUGCACACAUGAAAUUCUUCCAAUUUUUGGCAGAAUUUCCAACUUUCUGAACUUAUUUGUCGAUUACAGCAUUUGUAUACAAAUAUUAAAAAGUGCAAUGAAAUUUUCCAGAGAGAAAAUAGUGAAAAAAAAAAUGCUGUGUUAAAUGUCUACUUUUGUCUUAAUAUUUCUACAUUAUUUUGUUGUUUUAUAUUUUUAUUAUUUCAUUCUCUUUAAUAAUCAUAAUUUAUAUAUAAAGCUUAACAAUUUGUUGGACUGUCAAUGUACAUCUGUAGUUAAAAAAAACUUCUAAGUAAGGAUGUAAAUAAUUUAAAUGUUUUCUUUUUGUGCAAUUAUUUUCACAUUAUUUAUUUAUUUUUUCAUGGUUGAGUUGAUGAGUAUUUUCAGACUUUUUGUUCUUUUCUCACUCUCUUUAAUAAAGAGUUAUUCUUUAAAAAAUAGAAACCUUGCUUUUUUUUUUAAUUUUUUUUCUAAACAAUCAAGCAUGUCAUGAUAAAAUUGUAAUACAGUUUUACCUGCCCACAAAAAUGUUUGGAGAAAAUUUGAGCAAUGAAUAUCGGAAAUAGCACAGCUGUUCACAUCAACUCCCCUUUGCCUUCUAAAAAUUCAAGUAAAUUGAUGAAGAUAUGUAUGAAAAUUAAAUAUUAUUAGUGCCAUGUGCAUUUAAAUACUAGAUAUUUUAACUAUGAUAUUAUUACUUUAAAUCUCUCAUAUUUUUCUUAAUUGAAGUUUAAUAUAACAUUUUUAAAGAGUGAUACAAUGGUUUUGAUUUCAUGUUAGUUACAAGUUUCAGCUCUCCUUCUUUUUGCAUUUUUUAUUUUAUUACUGAAACAAUAAGCUUGUUUUUGUAUUGCAAAAGUUGUGUGGUCAUCAUUGAAUGUCAAUUAAAAGUUUAUUUUGAUAUAUAUCAUCUAGUAGCAGUGCAAUAUAUAUAAUUCAUCUUAAAUGUUUCAUUUAAAUUUUUUCUAAAAUGCUAUAUUAUUUUCCUUUAAAUGCAACACUUUACUGCUUUUCUAUUGUUGUUGUUAUUCUUUUAUAAUAUUUUAAUACCAAAAUAUAUACAUAUUUUAACAAUUAUAAGCUAGUUAUCUCCUAAAACAUAAUCAUAUGUUGUUUUCACUUAUUGAAAUAUACAUAAUGUCCAAAUUGUUAAACUCAGUGGUUUUUCAAAUUUAAAAUUAACUUUUACUGAUUGUUCAUUGAUCAAUUUUUAUUUUGUCAAAAUCAACGAAAAUUUUAGCCAUAUUGUGUAUUGAUUAAUUAUAUAAUUUACAGGGUUGUUACUUUUCUGGAAAAGUUUUUAAAGAAAUAAACUGGUAGUAAGAACAUUUCCUCAGUCCUUAUUUUUUGGGAAAAGUAAGCUAUUUGAAAUUACCACUACUUAUUUACACUGUUGAUGCACAUAUAGAUGAUAUACAUGUUUUACUUGUUAAUAAUUAGUGGUACCCACAGUGAGUUUACUUCUCCUGAAAGAAAGGUGGAAAUGAAAUGUUCAUAUCAGUUUUUCAUCUUUUUUUGGAUUAGUAGCAGUUCUAAACUUUAAUAUAGUAAAACCUGUCACAUUGACCACAUUUGUAUGUUGACCUCCAUUAUCAAGAACCAAAUUUAUCCUAUUGUAAUAAAAUGGUGCAAAAUCUU